rnacentral:misc_RNA from 1 species
CAUAAUUAAAUCCUAAAUAGAGUUGGAGAGUUACUAAAUUAAUUCUAAUCAAUUUCCAUAGCUUCUUGGAGUCUUUCCAUGAAGUCCUAAGUAAAACAGGACUGCUGGAGAGUAAAAAAAUAAAAAAUAAAAGAAAUAAUAAAAAAAAAAACACGUCUGCUCUUGCUGGGACAGAAAAUACAUCUCCUCAAGCUGGCACAGAGGGAAACAUGAGUUUCUAACUCCGUUGUGUCCCGUGGAACACACUCUGGGUGUGUUCUAGAUUGCUGAAACACACCAGGGGUGUGUUCUUUGCUGUUUGGCCCUGUGUCAUACCCCUCCACUUUGAAAAAACUUGUCUUCAAGUUGUAAUAGUUUGCAACAAACCCAAACAAGACCAUAACAACUUCCACACCAUUCUCCCCANNGGAAUAAAUUCUCCCUCAAAUUUUGAAGUGGAAGAGAAUGAAAAUCUUCAUUAGAAAAGCAC